rnacentral:rRNA from 1 species
UACGUAGGGCGCAAGCGUUGUCCGGAAUUAUUGGGCGUAAAGAGCUCGUAGGCGGUUUGUCGCGUCUGCUGUGAAAACCCGAGGCUCAACCUCGGGCCUGCAGUGGGUACGGGCAGACUAGAGUGUGGUAGGGGAGACUGGAAUUCCUGGUGUAGCGGUGGAAUGCGCAGAUAUCAGGAGGAACACCAAUGGCGAAGGCAGGUCUCUGGGCCACAACUGACGCUGGAGGAAGCGAAAGCAUGGGGAGCGAACAGG